rnacentral:rRNA from 1 species
CCUACGGGUGGCUGCAGUGGGGAAUAUUGGACAAUGGGGGGAACCCUGAUCCAGCCAUGCCGCGUGUGUGAAGAAGGCCCUCGGGUUGUAAAGCACUUUCAGUGAGGAAGAACGCCUGGUGGUUAAUACCCAUCAGGAAAGACAUCACUCACAGAAGAAGCACCGGCUAACUCCGUGCCAGCAGCCGCGGUAAUACGGAGGGUGCGAGCGUUAAUCGGAAUUACUGGGCGUAAAGCGCGCGUAGGUGGCUUGAUAAGCCGGUUGUGAAAGCCCCGGGCUCAACCUGGGAACGGCAUCCGGAACUGUCAAGCUAGAGUGCAGGAGAGGAAGGUAGAAUUCCCGGUGUAGCGGUGAAAUGCGUAGAGAUCGGGAGGAAUACCAGUGGCGACGGCGGCCUUCUGGACUGACACUGACACUGAGGUGCGAAAGCGUGGGUAGCAAACAGGAUUAGAUACCCCUGUAGUC